rnacentral:rRNA from 1 species
AUGUACUAGGCGAUCCCCUACAGCGUCGGCCGGCUGCUGGCGUGCCCGCGGCGGUCCGAGCAGGCCGAGGCCGAGGGCGCGGCCGGCCAGGAGGGAGGGCUCGCGGCUCGCCGACGCGGCGGUGAAGACGGCGGGGAGGCGGUGAGGAGGGCGGUGGCAGAGAUCCUGGUGCUGGUGGUGGGGAGGCGCGGGUGCUGCCUCAGCCACGUGGUGAAGCGGCUGCUGCAGGGGCUCGGGGUGAACCCCUCUGUGCACGAGGUCGCCGACGAGGCCGAGCUCGCUGCGGCGGCCGGCGUCGCGCUGCCGGCGGUGUUCGUCGGUGUGAGGCUCCUCGGCGGGCUCGAUCGGCUCAUGGCCGUGCACAUCUCCGGCGAGCUCGUGCCCAUACUCAAGGACGCCUGCGCGCUCUGGCUCUGA